UAAGACGUUAUGAUAAUGAUAAAUCUAUAAAUACAAUGUAAUUUUUUUUGGCGAGGGAAUCUCAAAUGGCACCUUUCGGAUAAGGCUGACUUCGCCAGUGGUCGGAUGGGGAUUCUCCAUCCCAUACAUUUAUUUUUUGUUAUAAGCUUCCUCUAUAAAUAGGUUUAUUUGAGGACCUUAUUUAUAUAUAUAAACCAAAUAAGAACAUCAUAUUAUAUAGCUAUCUAUGCAGUAUAAGAGAAUCAGUUUAUGGUACUCCGUACUGAUAAGGUUGAAGCUAGAAACCUAGUUUGAAAUGUUGGAUGUUUUGUGGGCUAUUGUUCAAAUUCUUAAUCCAUUAUGAAACGGUAGCUUGAAGAAAUUGGUGCCAUAUCCAACAUUAAUAUGAGAUACCUUAAGUAUAUUUGAUAACAUUCAUAUUAAUAUUACUUUUUUCUUGGGUUUAAUUAUCAAUAUUACUUGAAAAGAGGCUUUCCACUCGCUAA